AGCUAAACAACAAGGUCCGGGUGGCCAUAGUCAGUUCUUGAGCUUCGAACGGGCAGAAAGCUAAACAACAAGAUCAGGGUGGCGAUGGUCAGUUCUUGAGCUUCAAACGGGCAGAAAGCUUAACAACAAGAUCAGGGUGGCGAUGGUCAGUUCUUGAGCUUCGAACGGGCAG